GAAAUAAACCUGAUAGGUUGUUGCUGGUUCUCUAGGGAGCAUGUGCACACCUUGUCAUCUUUAUAUCUCCACCUGUGCACUUUUUGUAGACCUUUCAGGUCUAUGUUGCUUCAUUUACCCCAAUGUAUGUUAAUAGAAUGUUGUGACUAUAUAAUAUAUACAACUUUCAGCAACGGAUCUCUUGGCUCU
rnacentral:misc_RNA from 1 species